rnacentral:rRNA from 1 species
AAUGAACGCUGGCGGCAGGCCUAACACAUGCAAGUCGAACGAGUGGCGGACGGGUGAGUAAUGUCUGGGAAACCGCCCGUUGGAGGGGGAUAACUACUGGAAACAGUAUCUAAUACCGCAUACCAUCGGAUGUGCCCAGAUGGGAUGAGCUAGUAGGUGGGGUAAUGGCUCACCUAGGCGACGAUCCCUAGCUGGUCUGAGAGGAUGACCGGCCACACUGGAACGGAGACACGGUCCAGACUCCGACGGGAGGCAGCAGUGGGGAAUAUUGCACAAUGGGCGAAAGCCUGAUGCAGCAAUGCCGCGUGAAUGAAGAAGGCUUUCGGGUUGUAAAGUACUUUCAGCGGGGAGGCGGUAAUCGAAGAGGAAGCACCGGCUAACUCCGUGCCAGCAGCCGCGGUAAUUC